UAAUACGGAGGACCCGAGCGUUAUCCGGAUUUAUUGGGUUUAAAGGGUGCGUAGGCUGUUUAUUAAGUUAGAGGUGAAAGCUCGAUGCUCAACAUCGAAAUUGCCUCUGAUACUGGUAGACUAGAGUAUAGUUGCGGAUGGCGGAAUGUGUGGUGUAGCGGUGAAAUGCUUAGAUAUCACACAGAACACCGAUUGCGAAGGCAGCUGUCCAAGCUAUUACUGACGCUGAGGCACGAAAGCGUGGGGAGCGAACAGGAUUAGAUACCCUGGUAGUCCACGCCGUAAACGAUGAUAACUCGUUGCAGGCGAUACACAGUCUGUGACUUAGCGAAAGCGUUAAGUUAUCCACCUGGGGAGUACGUUCGCAAGAAUG
rnacentral:rRNA from 1 species